GGCCCCAUAGCUCAGUUGGUUAGAGCAGGCGACUCAUAAUCGCUUGGUCGCUGGUUCAAGUCCAGCUGGGGCCACCA
rnacentral:tRNA from 1 species